rnacentral:piRNA from 1 species
UAUCACGGCAUUGUUCCGGAUACGGCGGUU